rnacentral:misc_RNA from 1 species
GUGAAUCAUCAAAUCUUUGAACGCAAAUUGCACUCCCUGGUAUUCCGGGGAGUAUGCCUGUUUGAGGGUCGUUAGAAUAAAAAUCGAAGCGUCGCUCUUUUUUUUAAGGGUGAUCGCGUCGGAAUUGAGCCGUCUUUCAAAGUGGCUUAAAAUUCAUCCAUCCGGUACGAUUAAAGCGUAUUUAAGAUCAAUUUUGAUUAAGAACGCGCGAUGAACCUACCAUCUCAUGUAGUACGUUUGACUUGACGUCGUCAGGAUCAUUCGUAUACGAUACUCAACUUUUGACCUCAAAUCAGGUAAG